rnacentral:rRNA from 1 species
AUUGAACGCUGGCGGCAGGCCUAACACAUGCAAGUCGAACGGUAACAGGAAGAAGCUUGCUUCUUUGCUGACGAGUGGCGGACGGGUGAGUAAUGUCUGGGAAACUGCCUGAUGGAGGGGGAUAACUACUGGAAACGGUAGCUAAUACCGCAUAACGUCGCCAGACCAAAGAGGGGGACCUUCGGGCCUCUUGCCAUCGGAUGUGCCCAGAUGGGAUUAGCUAGGAGGUGGGGUAACGGCUCACCUAGGCGACGAUCCCUAGCUGGUCUGAGAGGAUGACCAGCCACACUGGAACUGAGACACGGUCCAGACUCCUACGGGAGGCAGCAGUGGGGAAUAUUGCACAAUGGGCGCAAGCCUGAUGCAGCCAUGCCGCGUGUAUGAAGAAGGCCUUCGGGUUGUAAAGUACUUUCAGCGGGGAGGAAGGGAGUAAAGUUAAUACCUUUGCUCAUUGACGUUACCCGCAGAAGAAGCACCGGCUAACUCCGUGCCAGCAGCCGCAGUAA